rnacentral:miRNA from 1 species
GUGAGAAUGGGAGUGAGGAUGAGAUUGAGAGAGAAGAUGAGAGGGAGGAGUAACAAAAGUGAAAACAAUUUGAAAUAGAUUUCAGUUUUUAGUUUUUGCCCAUCCCCUCCUCUCAUCUUCCUUCUCAAUCCCAUCUCUACUCUCAUUCUCACU